rnacentral:rRNA from 1 species
AGUGAACGCUGGCGGUAGGCCUAACACAUGCAAGUCGAACGGCAGCACAGUAAGAGCUUGCUCUUCCGGGUGGCGAGUGGCGGACGGGUGCGGAAUACAUCGGCAUCUACUUUUUCGUGGGGGAUAACGUAGGGAAACUUACGCUAAUACCUCAUACGACCUACGGGUGAAAGCAGGGGAUCUUCGGACCUUGCGCGGUUGAAUGAGCCGAUGUCGGAUUAGCUAGUUGGCGGGGUAAAGGCCCACCAAGGCGACGAUCCGUAGCUGGUCUGAGAGGAUGAUCAGCCACACUGGAACUGAGACACGGUCCAGACUCCUACGGGAGGCAGCAGUGGGGAAUAUUGGACAAUGGGCGAAAGCCUGACCCAGCCAUACCGCGUGGGUGAAGAAGGCCUUCGGGUUGUAAAGCCCUUUUGUUGGGAAAGAAAAGCAGCAGGUUAAUACCCCGCUGUUCUGACGGUACCCAAAGAAUAAGCACCGGCUAACUUCGUG